rnacentral:rRNA from 1 species
GGCUAUGACCAAAUAAACCGGAAUGUGCCAGAUCUCAUCAGAUCUCGGAAGCUAAGCAGGUUGAGCCUGGUUAGUGCUCGGAUAGGUGACCAUGUGUAACAGAUGGGUGUAGUAGGUA